AUUGAACGCUGGCGGCAGGCCUAACACAUGCCAGUCGAGCGGAUGAAGGGAGCUUGCUCCUGGAUUCAGCGGCGGACGGGUGAGUAAUGCCUAGGAAUCUGCCUGGUAGUGGGGGAUAACGUCCGGAAACGGGCGCUAAUACCGCAUACGUCCUGAGGGAGAAAGUGGGGGAUCUUCGGACCUCACGCUAUCAGAUGAGCCUAGGUCGGAUUAGCUAGUUGGUGGGGUAACGGCCUACCAAGGCGACGAUCCGUAACUGGUCUGAGAGGAUGAUCAGUCACACUGGAACUGAGGCACGGUCCAGACUCCUACGGGAGGCAGCAGUGGGGAAUAUUGGACAAUGGGCGAAAGCCUGAUCCAGCCAUGCCGCGUGUGUGAAGAAGGUCUUCGGAUUGUAAAGCACUUUAAGUUGGGAGGAAGGGCAGUAAGUUAAUACCUUGCUGUUUUGACGUUACCAACAGAAUAAGCACCGGCUAACUUCGUG
rnacentral:rRNA from 1 species